rnacentral:lncRNA from 1 species
CUUAGACCUAGAUUACUUGUGGAUAUCCCCUGACUAGCUGGAUCGUGUGGUAGGCAGCGUAGGUGACAGUUACGUUGGUCCCAUGUAGUCCACCUCUCGUUAGCAGGACGGGUAGGGUUUAUCGGCCUAUGGAUAAGCAUCCUUUGUGGUGUACUCUUAUCACGUGGUUCGUCCCAGACAUAGACAUACCCCUUUGAAGUAGAGAAACCAUAGUUAUCCUCUCUAUUCUGCUACCAUCGCCCAUAUACUAGAAUUGCUCUACUCUCUAUUCCCAUAUUAUCACUCACUGUUAUCUUACCUUUAAUAUUGUUCUUAUUCGAUUCUACCAUCUUUCCUAUUCACACCUAUUUACUUAUCUUGGUUAAGUUAGAGCGUAGAUCAGUUCUCCUGUUUCCCUGUGGAUACGAUAAAACCUUUAACCGGGUAAAAGCUUCAACGGUAUCCGUGCGCUUGCGGAUUAUCUGUGUGCGUAUAAAUACCAUAGUACACUCUAGUGCCACGCUGGGGAUGACAACCUAGUAUUCAAGUGGUGUUAGCAAGUGUCAACAAGCAUUUUUGGCGCCGUUGCCGGGGAAACGGUUGUUGAGUUGACUACGAACUAGUUUAAUCAUUUUAUAAAAAAAAAUAUAACAAAAAAAAUAUUUUCCUUUUAUCCUUUGCCUCAUCUCUGCUAUUCUUUCUUCUUAUCUAAUCCUUGAUCUCUGGUCUAUUAUGAAUUCAAACAUGUCUAUCUAUGAAUUUCAUAGACCUAUGGGCACACAUCUCGAACCACCAAAAUCUUCAAAGCCUAUCAUAUCAUCUAGUUUUUAGAUAGACCCCGAAUACAUAGAAUUUAUUCAAAAACAACCUUUCUCAGGAGAAGGUGAGGAAAACCCAUACACACACCUAAGAGAGUUUUAUCGAGUCUGUGACCUCCUUCGCAUAGAAGGCAUGUCCGAUGAGACCCUUAAAUGGAAGCUCUUUCCGUUCUCUUUAACGGGAAAAGCUAGACAUUGGUAUAAACUCAAAGUAGGGAGUGUUCAUGGAGAUUGGAAGGAGUUAUAUAGUAGUUUUCUUUCUAAAUAUUUUCCAAUCUCCAAAGUGGUGGAACUUCGGCGUGAGAUUCUUUCUUUUAGACAACUGGAAGAAGAAUCUCUUGGCAAAUCAUGGGACCGCUUUAUUAACCUUACUCUCACUGGCCCAAAACUUUCUAUUCCAGAAGAAGUUCUUCUAAUUCACUUUUUUGAGGGCCUUAGUAGGAAAAAUAAGCAAACCCUUCAUGCGGCCUCUGGAGGAUCUUUCCACCACCUAUCCGCUAGUGAAGCUUGGAAUUUGAUUGAUUUAAUGAGCGGAAAGUCUCCUAGCUUUUAUAUCCCUGAGAAAGAGAAAGAACAAGUUCCUAGACAAGAAGAAGAAGCUUCGAUAGCCAGAUCACAACCACUUCAAUCCCAAACUUUAGCUAUCGAUCCUAAACCAUCAAUACCCCAAAAUUCUCCAAGGGAGGAAGGAAUUCCGACCUUAAAUCUUUUAGAUGCUGAUGGUUUAGACUUCUGGUUCUAUAAGAGACCUUCAAGCAGGGAUAAUUCAAAUCAUUGCAAUAAUGUUUCUCUUAGAGAAUGUCCUGGUUCCUAUCAUGAAGAAGUCAAGGAUGACAUAUCAAGUGAAGGAGAGCUAAGCCAUAUUGAAAAUUCUAACACCUCCCCUUUCCUGAUCACAAGUUCUAAAUGGCUAGAAAGUGUAGAAUGGAUGGAUAAGGAAGAAGCCUUAAUGGGUUCCGACUUUGGCUCAAUUUCAAAUGGUGAGUUCUUGACUCCCUUUGAAGAUGAGAUUCAUCCAACUACAGAAGAGGACAUAGGUGAGACCAAUCCAGGAGAAACUCCGAACAUUCAGAUUAGAGACGAAGAUAACAUUACUGAGCAUGGAAUUUAUUUCAUAGCCACUUCGUUUACUCCAUGCUCAUAUGCAACAUCUUCCCAAUCUAUUGGUCUCUUCGACAUCACCACACUUGAGAUCUCCAACCCCCUCUUCCUUUCUAUUUAUAAAAACUUUAAAAAGGCGGUUGUCGAUGCAUAUGUCUAUAAUAAAUAUUGCAGAUCUCGUUGAGUUGAUCUAGAUAUAGGUUGGCGUCGGAGGGGAAACCACUUCGCCAACAUAAACUGAUGGUUUCCCAAGGACAAGCUUAUUGUCUUAAAAUAAGCAUUGAUCAGAUCGUAACAUGAGCCUUUAAUUAUUUGCAACAUUACCUUGUGUAUUGAGCAUAUAAGCAUAAUUGUAAAAAAAAAAUAUAUUGUCCUUCGGGUAUUCUUGUCACUAACCUUUCUAAGAUUGGAGCAAGAAGAUCGGAUGAAUGACAAGCACAAGGUAUGUCCAACCAAUCAUCAUACAACAUUGAAUUAAAUUCAUCCAAACUUGAAUUUUGUAAAAUUCAAGCUUGGGGGAGUACUUUACAUAAAAACAUCCUUUGCCAUGUUGCUAUGCUGGCUACCUUUGAGACAUGCUCAAUUUGUUAAAUACUAAUCACACUACUUCAUCUCCACUUGAGUAGAUCUCUAUAAACGCUGUCAUGCUACCUUUGUCUAUUUACUAGCAAGUGUUGGUUUGGAAGUACUCGCCAUACUUCCAUUGGCAUUUAAAUUAAGCAUGGUGCUUAGGUUAAAUAGCCUUCCUUAAUCUGAUUAGACAUGGAGUCUAGUUCGGUUAUUGAACUAAAAACUGCUUGUGUAGACAUUGGUAUAUUUUUGUCGGACUAACCCCUGCAGAAAAACUUUCAAUAUCGAUUUGGGAAGUCCUGAGAUAAACUCACAUCAGAGACGAAGAAAGUGACACAUGAAGUUUAACAAUUUGCACAAGAAGGACAUAGCUCAUUCAUCAUAGAGAGAUGAUCCAUGGAGGGUGCCACAAACACGACGCACAACCGCUAAGAAAGGAAAGCUUCCACAAGGUGAUAUUGUACCAUCACUUUUCAAAACAUCCUAAGGUACUUGACUAUCACUUUUAUAAGCUUCUCCUUGGUUCUGGCGUUCAUAUAAAUAAAAGAGACAAACGUGUAUGAUUUACAACUCUAGAUUAACCAACCCAACUGAUUCAACAUGUUUAGUCCUUUAAUCCUUGUUCUUAGUACUACCUCCAUGAUCCCACACUCCUAAUCAUAUGAGCUAAAAUGUUACACAUUCAAUCAUUGAGAGAUAUAAAGAAAAAGACAUAUACAUAGAUAGAUUAUCUUUCCAUAAGGUUGAGCGAUCUGAUCUGACAAAUGUUAUAAGUACUACACUCAUGAACUUAUCAUCCAUCAACUUGUCUUGCUCACUAUGCUUAAGGUUAGAGAAGAACAAAUACACUUUUAGUUCUGUUGGUGUUCUCCACCAAUAGGGCCCAUGCACUUAAUCUCUGCCUUGUCUCUAUGAGCAGGUACACUACGAGCACUUCGAACUACUGGGCAAACGAAGAACAUGGGUGACACCGUAUUAAAAGGUGCAGACGUCAAGGUCCACACCUGAAGAAUGAACACGAUGAGAAGUCUUGACAAGAAGACUUAAAACAUUGAACCCUCGCCGAAAGGUAAGAUUGGUAGUUAUCCAUAUUUAUCCUUUCUGCAUUCUCUUUUCCAUUUAAUUAUUUACUUUCCUUAAAUAGAUUUUUAGUUAAUCAUGCUAUCUUGAAAAAAAAAUAAAAAUGUUAAAAAAUACUAAGCCCCAUGUGAGUAUACGAGUGGCAUAAAACCCAUAAGUACCUUCACUGUGGUGGCAUAAAAAUAAAAUAAAUAUUUCUUUUCUACUUUAUAAAAUAAAAAUAUAAAAACAGGGAGUAACAUUUAUUGAGGAAGCUCAACGUGAUGAAGGCUGGAUAUUUAUGCUAACACUUAAUUAGUUCCACAAGCUUUGUUGUCUAUUUGAGCUCCACAGAAUUUAAGAAUCAAGAAGACUAACAGACGGAGGACAUUCUAAUCGCUGUCAGAAUGCUGCUGACUUUCAAAUACACCUCUGCUACCGCUACAUCAAGAGAAAUUACGUCAAAAUUCAGCUUGGGGGAGAGCACCCCUAUUUAUCUCGCUAAGUAUUUCUACCUAUCUUUAUACUUAUAUUAUAUUAGAAUAUUAAAAUACAUAAACUAUGAAAAACCAAAUAAAGAUUUUAUGCUUAUAUAUAUAUACUUUUCUUAGUUUGCUAAAUAAAUAAAUAAAGUUUGCUAUGAAUCUUAAUAAUAAAACUCUAGCAUGGAUAUGAUGAAUAGUUGCUCUGCCUAAUUUGCAAAUUUAAAGUUGUCUCUCAAGUUUAGACAUAACUGUUAUAAUUUAAAGCUUGCUCUAGAUCUAAACUUGUGGGAUGAAAACUUGAUCUGAAAUCUAAGUUGUUAACGGAUAAGAUAUGGGAAGGUUGAGCUGCUGUUUAUCUGUUCCUAGAGAUGCUAGAAUUCUGGAGAAUUUUAUCUUUGAAAAAUCUUUAAAAUAUUGCAUGAUGAGUUCCUGUAUGAUGAAAGUUUAAAUUCCUACCACAGCCAUAUAUACAUGCUUGCUAGACUUUGAGCCACACAUUUAUUAUUUACUGCUUAUGAGCAUUGAGUGUGGUCAAGCUGUGUAGACCCUUAGGAGCUUGUCAUGUGGUUAAAUCAAGAUUCACUUGCACGUUCACUCAUAUAUAUGCUACUUCUACUCCAGAAGUACCAUCCACAUAUAUCCAUCCAUUUCUAUCUCCAGAAUCACCUAAAAAUAUUCUACUCCUAAUUCGGGAGAGAAUAGCCAAAAACAUCUGUGUUUUUCCCUUGUGAAAUAAAUGCUCAAGUUAUCUUGCUACUACCACUUGCUAUAUUAUCUCAAGAGAUGAGUGCUCUGAAAAAAAAAGAAGAAAAAAAAGAGAAAAGAAAAAAAAAUAAACGAGGAAAUAAAAAGGAGCAAGUGCCCGGAACCUCGAAAGAAAAGAAAAAGAGUGAGACGAGAGGUAAAAAUGGACAAGUGUCCGACAGUAGAAUUAGGGGUACAGGAUACCCAUCUGAGAGAAAAGAAAAAGAAGAGCAUCUCAUUCUCCUCAUAAAGUUUCAAAAAGCAAGAAAGCUAUGUAUCCCCUCAAAAGAGCAAAAGUAGAAUUAGACUUUCACCAUUGUUAUCACCAUCAUCACCAUACACUAUUCAUUCGCCACACAUGCACAUCUUGAUUUGGCUUAUUGAUUUCUUUCUUUGGAUCCAUGGUUUGACUAUACAAUAAAUGUCUUGUAAGUAUGUAUAUUUUAUCUCCCACCUAUGAGCUCCAGAUAUUAAAGCCUUAUUAGAGUAGGGUGAGAGAGAAGACAAUGUCACUAUCCCUUAUACCACAAAUACCACAUAUUUUGAGAGAAGGCAUAUACCAUCACUGCCUUGGUAAGGAUCCAGAAAUACCACAAAAGAGAGAUAUGAGAGAGUCAUACAAAGGAAUCUCUGAGUUUUAUUUGAAAAUCUGCAAAAAACUCCAGAGCUAUAGCUGAUCAAGAAUAAGAGACAUGGCACUUGGCUAGACUGUUCUAUCUUUUAACUACUCAAGACAGAAGUGACGGUUACAAGUCCCAUGGUGAAAGGUAAAGUAAGUAAGUUUUAGUUCUUGACAGUUUACUCUAACUCAGAGAUGAGACCUCAUUUAAAAGCAUGUGUACCGUCAAUUUUUAAAGAUAUUGCAACAACUUAUGAUCCAUAGCUGAGUCUAUCCUUGCUCAGGGACGAGCAAGAGGUAAGCUUGGGGGAGUUUGUUGACGGUCCUUAAGUAUCAAAUUUAACUAUCAAAUAAACAAAGAAAAGGAUCCAAAUGAAAUCAACAUCGAGACUUAGGGUUUUAUCUGACAGAAUUCCACGAGUUUUGGUGUUUGUCUAUUUCUGCAGGGGGUUAUCAGGAAAUAAAGAAGAAAGGCCCACACGUUGGGAUUACAUAGGGAUAUCAACGUGCCGCGCAAUUAUCUUACAUCUAGAAGACUCCAGAAGCCACGGGAAGGAAGCGGAGACCGAACGGAGUCAGGGACAGGGCGCCCGCCCUGUCCUACUGGGCGCCCGCCCACCUCCUAUGGCCAAUCACGCUCAAUCUCGCGGAUUAUGCUCCACCGACCUAAAGGAUCAAGAAUAACCGUUCAAUCAAUGUCGGUUUGAUCCGACGGCCCAGGUUCACUUGAGGGGACUAUAAAACCAGACCCCCUGGCCCCUGGAGGAGGCACCCCCUUGAUCAUUAUUCAUAGACAGAGCAAAAGCUAGGGUUUAGAGAUGAGAGCUCUCCUCUCUUCUCUAAACUAGAGUAGAUCUAGAUAGUAGCGAGAUGGAGAGCGAAGGAGGAUUAGAGGAGAGGCCGGCCUGUCGGUUCUUCCUCCGGUUGUACUUCGCCAUGAUCAAGCUCUAAUCAAGCUUGCUCAUGGGAUGACUCUGGUAAUCUACUUCUAAUUCAUUAUGCAAUUACUAAUCAUGUAUGUUCUCGUUCAUAACUCUUUUGAGUACUUCUAAUCUAUAGGACCCUAUAGGUUAGAGUUGUAGUAUAGGUGUAAGCGUGGUGCUUAGACCUAGAUUACUUGUGGAUAUCCCCUGACUAGCUGGAUCGUGUGGUAGGCCGCGUAGGUGACUGUUACGUUGGUCCCAUGUAGUCCACCUCUCGUUAGCAGGACGGGUAGGGUUUAUCGGCCUAUGGAUAAGCAUCCUUUGUGGUGUACUCUUAUCACGUGGUUCGUCCCAGACAUAGACAUACCCCUUUGAAGUAGAGAAACCAUAGUUAUCCUCUCUAUUCUGCUACCAUCGCCCAUAUACUAGAAUUGCUCUACUCUCUAUUCCCAUAUUAUCACUCACUGUUAUCUUACCUUUAAUAUUGUUCUUAUUCGAUUCUACCAUCUUUCCUAUUCACACCUAUUUACUUAUCUUGGUUAAGUUAGAGCGU